rnacentral:miRNA from 1 species
GAGAGAGAGAGAGAGAGAGAGAGAGAGAGAGAGAACUGAGGAGGGAGAGACACAGAGAGAAACCAAAAAGUGUUUUAAAUCAUUUUUGAAAAUGUGUUUUAAUUUUUAGACCUUCUCUCUCUCUCUCUCUCUCUCUCUCUCUCUCUCUCCCUCCCCCAAUCCUC